UACAGAGGGUGCAAGCGUUAAUCGGAAUUACUGGGCGUAAAGCGUGCGUAGACGGUUGCGUAAGUCAGAUGUGAAAGCCCCGGGCUCAACCUGGGAAUUGCAUUUGAGACUGCGUAGCUAGGGUGCGGAAGAGGGAAGCGGAAUUUCCGGUGUAGCGGUGAAAUACGUAGAUAUCGGAAGGAACACCAGUGGCGAAAGCGGCUUCCUGGUCCAGCACCGACGUUCAGGCACGAAAGCGUGGGGAGCAAACAGG
rnacentral:rRNA from 1 species